rnacentral:lncRNA from 10 species
CCCACUCUGCCUCUCUCUCCCCCUCCCUCUUCCUCUCCUUUUCCCCUUGCCUUUCCUCCCCCUUCCUCUCCCCCUUCCUCUCUCCCUUCCCUUCCAUGAGACCCUCCCCAACCCAUCUCUGCAUCUCCCAGCUCCUCCCACUCCUGCUCCUCCCUCGCCCUGCCCCCCUCCACCUAUCCCAACUCCACUCAUCCGCAGCCCAAACACUGAUCUGUUUUAGUUUGCAUUUUCUAGAGUCGUCCAUAAAUGGAAUCAUCCCAUAUGUACUUGAUUUUGUCUGGCUUCUUUCACUCAACAUAGUUACUUUGACAUGCCUGCGUGUUUUUGCAUGGAACAAUCAUUCAUUGCUUCCUGAGCAGUAUUCCAUUUAUGGAUAUACCACCGUGUGUUUAGUCAGCACUUGAUUUAGCCUGCUUUCAAUUUUUCCUGAUUAGAACUACAGCUGCUAGGAACAUCCCUGUGCAAAUCUUUGUACAGACAUAUACGGUUUUUCCUCUCUGGGGUAAAUACCUGGAAGUGGAAUGCCCAGGUCGUAAGCUCCCUUGUAGUUGGUGGCAAUCAUAUGAUGCUGUUAUGGGCAAUGAUAGGAGCAGACAUCACUGGGAGCUACCAGGAAAACUAGUUAAAGAGGAGCUGGCUCAGCACUGGACUUUUGCUCUGUCUUUUGUUUCUGCUUGGAAAUUAGUCAUGAUGGCUGGAGCACUGGCAAUCUUCUGGUAUACAUGAAGAUGAGACCCACAUCUUGAUUUUAAAGAAGUAGAAGACAUGAAGGAGCCCAGGAUUCUGAAGACAGUGUGGAGUCAAUAUGCUAGUCUUGGAUUGCCUGCCUUCAGAUUUCCAAUUACAUGAGAGACCAAUAAAUCUAUAUUUUGUUUAAAUCACUGUUACUGGGAUUUUCUGUUUCAUGAAGUUGACACAGUGUAUAUCUGAUGUCCUGAAUUUGAUUGUGAGAAUCU